GGGCUGGCGCUCCCCCAUUUCUAUAAGAUUGUAUUAGGGUUGAAUGAAGCUUUGUUUAUAUAUUGAUAAUGACAGUAUAUAUAUCGUGUCUUGACUAAUUGCGUGCCAGCAGUCGCGGUAAUACGUAAGAGACUAGUGUUAUUCAUCUUAAUUAGGUUUAAAGGGUACCCAGACGGUCAAUAUAGCUUCUAAAAUGUUAGUACUUGACUAGAGUUUUAUGUAAGAGGGCAGUACUUGAGGAGGAGAGAUGAAAUUCCGUGAUACCAAAGGGACUCUGUAAAGGCGAAGGCAGCCCUCUAUGUAAAAACUGACGUUGAAGGACGAAGGCACAGAGAACAAACAGGAUUAGAUACCCAAGUAGUCUUUGCAGUAAAUGAUGAAUGCCAUAGGUCAGAUUAAUGUAGAUGAGGGACUAGACAUUAAACGUUAUUUGGUCUAUAAAUGAAAGUGUAAGCAUUCCACCUCAAGAGUA
rnacentral:rRNA from 1 species